GGCUCCAAAAACUCUUUCCUUCUUCAAUCGACGACGGCUGGGCAAUCUUAAAAAUCCUAACCCCAAUCUUCCCCAUGCCCACAGCGGUGUCCACUCUUAUUCUCUCAUCGACGGCUCCCUCACCAUCUUCUUCCUCUUCUUCUUCCUCCGCUAGGGCACAACAGCACUGCAGCAUCCCAAAUUUUGUGCUCCUUCCUCUUCUCCCUAUGAACCUCUCUCCCUUGUCAAUUCAAGCUCUACCUCGCUGGUUCUCAUACUCACGGUAUUGUAUCUUGUUAUUCGUAGAACUGCAGAUGCCAUUACAAAUCUUGCGCAUGAGAACAUUUUCAUCAAAACGCGAGUUAGGAUGGAAGGUGGGAAUAUUCCUCCGCUUGUUGAGUUGCUUGAAUUUUACUGACACCAAGGUUGAAAGACUACUGCUGGGGCAUUAUGAACAUUGGCCUUUAAGAAUGAUGAGAAUAAAAACCAGAUUGUUGAGUGCAAUGCUCUCCCCACACUGAUUUUGAUGCUUCAUUCUGAGGAUGUUGCUAUACAUUAUGAAGCAGAGCUUUGCAACCUGUUAUUGAAUUACUCAGUUCUUGUUGCUCUGAGAGGCAAAGGGAGGCAACAUUAUUACUUGGACAAUUUGCGGCAACUGAUUUGGAUUGUAAGGUGAAUAAACUUGAUGAUUUAUUAUUUUAUAGCAACAAUUUUGAAAUGGAGAGUUGAGAAUCUGUAUACCUAUUAAAUUUGAUUUAUUGGAAAACAGAAGGGUAAAUUAUUCACUUUAUAAGAGUGUUGUUGUGUGUAUAUACCAUUACUUCAUUAAAUAUUUGUUUUAUUACAAAGAAUGUCUUUCACCCUUCAAUUUUUAUUUCUCAUCCUCCUCCUUUUACUUGAUUUUCUUACUGAAUGAAUAAAAAAUUUGCAUAUUAAUAUUGUACAAAGAGGUGUUGUUUGACCCUUAAUUGAGCUGCUUUAGUCACCUGAUGUACAACUUCGAGAAAUGUCAGCUUUUGCAUUGGGGAGGUUUGGCACAGAAGGCGAGGGAUGGAUGGUUGGGUGUCUCUCAGAGGUGUGCUACUGAGUAUAACAGGUGUCCUUUGGCACCGAAAGAUUAUCACGAUCGGACUUGGAGUUAAAUUUGUAGAGACAAUGUGUAAGCUUCCAUCACUCUUGUAUUCUUUAAUUGUAUGUAACAUUCUAAAAUGGUUUGAUAUGUAACUAUGUUCAUAUAAUCAUGUUAUGUUUAGGUUCAAAUUGGUUUUUAGUCAAGGAAGAAGUACUAACCUUUUCGAUAUCUUUUGGAAAAUGCAGUUUUUGAAGUUCAUCAAAUUAUAUACUUGCAUAUGUUGUUGAUUAAAAUCUCCACUGAUUUAGUAUCUGUAACUUGAAUACACUUUUUGCUAAGAUGAGACGCUCUAGUUUACUUGCCAGGCGCUAAAAGUUGUUCUCAACCUUCUACUUCAAAUCCCAGCACUUCAUAAUCCAUUUUCAUUCAAAAGGUUUUGCCACAAUCCAUUGGAGCAAUGAAGCCAUAUGUACGCCAAUUCAUUGAUGUAUAGACUUUUUUAUAGGUUUGGUAGGAAUUUUUUUUGUUCAAAUGUAGUUAUUUAAAUAGUUUGUUCAUACCAAAAUACAUUUGUACCAACAAUUAAAGCAAUAUUACAAAGUGUGUUUCUUUCUAUUAAAGCGUUCACCGUUUUUCUA